rnacentral:rRNA from 1 species
UCCAGACUCCUACGGGAGGCAGCAGUGGGGAAUAUUGCACAAUGGGGGAAACCCUGAUGCAGCGACGCCGCGUGAGUGAAGAAGUAUUUCGGUAUGUAAAGCUCUAUCAGCAGGGAAGAAAAUGACGGUACCUGAUUAAGAAGCCCCGGCUAACUACGUGCCAGCAGCCGCGGUAAUACGUAGGGGGCAAGCGUUAUCCGGAUUUACUGGGUGUAAAGGGAGCGUAGACGGCAGCGCAAGUCUGAAGUGAAAUGCCGGGGCUUAACCCCGGAACUGCUUUGGAAACUGUAUAGCUUGAGUACUGGAGAGGCAGGCGGAAUUCCUAGUGUAGCGGUGAAAUGCGUAGAUAUUAGGAGGAACACCAGUGGCGAAGGCGGCCUGCUGGACAGAAACUGACGUUGAGGCUCGAAAGCGUGGGGAGCAAACAGGAUUAGAUACCCCGGUAC